rnacentral:rRNA from 3 species
UUAAAUUGAAGAGUUUGAUCAUGGCUCAGAUUGAACGCUGGCGGCAGGCCUAACACAUGCAAGUCGAACGGUAACAGGAAACAGCUUGCUGUUUCG